rnacentral:sRNA from 1 species
UUCUUGGGCCCACUUUGUUCCUGCUCU